ensembl:snRNA U6 U6 spliceosomal RNA
GUAUUCACUAGGGUAGCACAUAUACUAAAAUUAGAAAGAUACAAAGAAGAUUAACAUGGCCCCUGAGCAAGGAUAACAGGCAAAUUUAUGAUGUGUUCCAUAUUAAA